GACAGAGGGUGCAAACGUUGUUCGGAAUUACUGGGCGUAAAGCGUGUGUAGGCUGCUACAUAAGUCGGAUGUGAAAGCCCCGGGCUCAACCCGGGAAGUGCACUCGAUACUGCGUAGCUUGAGUCUCGGAGAGGUUGGUGGAAUUCUCGGUGUAGAGGUGAAAUUCAUAGAUAUCGAGAGGAACACCGGUGGCGAAGGCGGCCAACUGGACGAAGACUGACGCUGAGACACGAAAGCGUGGGGAGCAAACAGG
rnacentral:rRNA from 1 species